CUUCUCUACGCGCUCCGUGGUGCCUCUCCGUCCAGCGUCGCUGGGGAGGGGAAAAGGGAAAACGGUGCAAGACCGUUGCAGCCCCCGCUACUGUGAGCCGGUAUUCGUUCAGUCCGGCGGAAUGUUCCGCCGCAGGCACGUGCGCGGUACGCAUCGCUUUGAAGAACGCACCUCUGCCUGAUCCACUGGCUUCGCUCUGCGGGCCGGGAAGGGGGAUUGAGCGAAGCGCCCCGAUGCCAUAAAGGCGACGAGGCGCGGCCGGCAAGCCAGGAAACCUGCCAGGAGCCGCAGCAUCCUU
rnacentral:ncRNA from 1 species